CGCCUGGUUGAUUAAAAACAUUGCUGCAUGGAGGAAUGUGCGGUAAGUACUGCCCGGUGCUUAGGUAAACGGCGGCGUAAGGUUUUAAAGUAGCGAAAUACCUAGCCCUUUAAUUGGGGGCGUGCAUGAAGUAUCAACGAGGGAGAAACUGUCUCUUCUGUAGUUUAGCUUAAAUUGAAUUCUAAGUGAAGUUGCUUAGAUGUAGUCAAAAGACGAUAAGACCCCGUGCAACUUAAUUUAACUGGAAAGAGAUUUUCGGGAUGAUUUAGCUGGGGAAGCUGAGAAAGAGGAGCUUUUUUCAAAUCUUUUAAAAGGGACACCUUGAGAGCUGGUUUUUGACCAAGUGUGGGGAAAGUUACGCCGGGGGUAACAGGACGGUUUUAAAAUUGAGUUGGUAUCGGUUUUAAAGUUCGUUACAUCGAUGUUGAAUCAAGGCGCGCCUGGGUGGAGAGGCUCAGGUUUGGGGGUCUGUUCGACCUUUAAAGUCUUACGUGAUCUGAGUUCAAACCGG
rnacentral:rRNA from 1 species